GUGUGGAGUUAAUCUGUUACUGCAUUUAAAAAUGACACAACAAAAGAGAAGACAUAGUUGUAAAACGUUAAUAGUUCAUUGUCACAUAUUUCAAAAUAUGGAUAAGGUCUAAUAGAACAUGGCUUUGUCCUUUGGCCUUUGUUUAGUAAACAGGGGGACACAUUGGAAAUAUGUACUAAUUCGUAUUUCGUCUCUUUUCACAGGUAACAUCUUUUUCAUGUUAAUAAAACAAGGUGUUUUAUGUGUGAUGACAAUGAGACAAUUACCUGCCAUUUCAAAUACACUUGGACAAAGAUAAUUUUUUCACAUGUUGUUUCAGGAGAAC
rnacentral:lncRNA from 1 species